UCACGAAUCACAUGAAAUAAAUCAUCAUCUUCUGUAAUAACUGUUAAAGCAACAAAAUAACUAGGGCUUUAUAUUGAAAACCUGGAGAAAUGUUGGGGUUCAGUGGGUUAAAAUCUUCCUAGAUGGGGCACGGAUGGACAUGUCAAAAUGCUGAAUCUUGCCACUUCAGCAAGUCUUUAUUCAUAUUAAAAAUCAGAUUGAUUGAAUUCUCCAUGUUGUAUAUAUUAAAUGGCAGUUCAUCUAACAUAACAUGCUUUUAUUUCUUCUUAAAAUAUCAAAGGCACUAAUUUCACACACAAGCUCGCACACAAACACACACACACAACGGUGCUGGGUGGAGUGUACGCUCAGAGGGAAGGAGUCAUUCUCAAGCAAUGUGGGCGACUGACUCCUUCAACUAUUUAGAUUCCAUUUUGUAAAAAAGAAAACACUGUCCAGAACAUAGGAAGGCAAAGAAGAUCUGAUGUGGAGAUGGAACGUGACGGCCAAGUCAAAUGGAUCACUGUGCUCUUUAGUCGGACGACCCAAUGGACUUGGCUAGUUGUGGUGGUGAACUUGGCCCAGAGUUAUUAACUGGUCCUCAUCAAGUCGCACAAGAAAACAGGCAUCAGGAAAAAUACAUUAUGUCAAUUCGGAUGAUUAAUUACACAGGUUAUGCAAUUACCUUCAGAGAAAUGAAUGUAGGACCGACACUUUCUCCUCCGUGGGGAUGAGAGUUUAAAAACAUACCAAAAAAAAAGUAACAAAGAGCCCCCAAAACAGGAUGAACAGAUUAUAGGAAGAGAGGGAGCUAGGGAGGACAAAGGAGGGUAGAAAGCAUAAACAAUACAGUGAAUAUUGCUGUUCUGGUAGCUGAGAAAUAUAUGGGAACAGCUACAGUGUACUACAGUAUCUGAACGUUGUUCCACAAAGCUUUCAAUGUGCAGAUUUGGAAGCAGCAAUCCAAUUGUAAACCACCUUUCUCUCUCCUCCUCUCUCUCUCCUCUUCCUACUUCUCUCCAUUUCUCCUUACAGUCUCUGUUCCAAUCUCCCAUGGCAAUCUUCCGACCAGCAUGUUUUUCUCCACCAGAGCCCAGAGACCUUGGCGCGGAGUGUUGGACGUCUGACACUGUUGACACGGUGCUGUUUUGCAAUACAAAGCGGACUGUGGUUUAUUUUCGGGAAAACAAUAUUUUCUUUCUACCAUGUUGCAACUUAUUUUCCCAAUUUCAUUAUUUGUUAUUGCUCGUGGUGGAUUAACGUCUAUGCGCUGUUAAUCGGGGGAGAGGGAGAGAAAGCGAGUGAAGGGGAGCAGGGAGGAGAGGAAAGCGGUGGGGAAUCUGUUUGAAGAACACCUCUGUGAUUUCUUUGAGUUCAUACAUGAAUGGAGUUGUAAACAAGCUCUGAGGAUUUACAGGCCUGCUGAAAUAGAGUGCCGACCCCUGCAUUCCUCUGAGCAAUGUAUUCUGGAAGAAUCAACACUGGGCCUGAGGUGGACCUCUCUCUCUCUCUCCCCUGUCUACUCUGUUCUCACCCCUCCUCAUUUUUCUGUAACAUAUUUAUCUGGCCACCGAAUGAAGGAAGGCCUCUCUGGGGGAGAGGGGGAAGGGGGUAGUUAGCCCCCCUCCCACCUGCACACUUGUGACUGUCAUUGGUUUGACUGAUCACCUCGAAUCCGCGAGCAGAUGGUUGGAUGAGGGUCAGCGAUAUUACAUAAGCCACAUUGUUCCUCUGGCAAAGCCAAGAGCGUUGGACUCAUGGGUCUCGUCAUCUAGAAUUAUAUCUGGGAAGGAACAUCGCCAUUAGGUUUCAAACUGAACCAGAACACUGUCGAAAUGACAAGAUAAUAAUCAGGCUAUUAACUCAGGGAUACAUGAUAAAGAGAAAGACUGAUGAUAUGUGUACAAUUAUGUAAUGAAAUGUAUACUAUACAAUCCUAUAUUAUGUAAGACAGUUUUGAUAAAAAAUGUUAGCGAAUAAUAUUAGAAUGACUCAUAUGAGUAUAUAAUUAUGCCAUAGCAUAUCUAAUUUAUGUAAUCAUUCAGUUUCAGUUCACUUUGAUCUUUCAUGCUUCGAUGACAAUAGAUACUGUACAUGUUAUCUAUAUGAAAACACAGUACUAUCUAGAAUACUGCAUGUGAUCUAACUAGGCAUCAUUACUGUGUACAUUUCUGUCAUAACCCUUGGCUUGCUGGCUAGCAAACAGCACAACAGCACAACAUCCAACUGACAUGAAGAAUAUGUAGAGUUGAAAAACAAUAAUGACCCUCUCUUUCCAUCUUUGUCUCAAAUUGCACCCUAUUCCAUAUUUAGUGCGCUAAAUUUGACCAGGCCCCAUAGGGCUCCAUAGGGCUCUGGUCAUAGGUAGCCCACUAUGCUGUAUAGGGUGCCAUUUGGGACACAAUAAGCAUUUGCUUUGUAAAGCGGUUUUCAAUACAAGUUGCAAAGCGCUUCACAGUACUAACAAAGAAACAAAAACUAGAGGAAGGAGAAGAAAAAGCUCAUUAAAAUCAUACAUUGAAAUAACUCUUUAAAAUCACCUUUAUGGAAGUGUCUUCAGCAGUGAUAUAAUGACGCAGCCCAUGUCUGGGCUCAUUUGUAUUGGCGUAGUCUAAUAAAUAUAUAUCUGUUCAUAGUGAA